UGAGACAUAGACAAGCCUGAUGAAACAACCUUACAAGCAACUUCACAUUUUUAUCUCUUGAUGGAUUGCCCAACCAUCUCAACCCAUCUUUGUAAAAGAGCGGAGGUAUCAGCUGCAAUCUAGAAGUAAAGAAAGAUCACACCUGACUGCUGAAGGCGCAAUCAAAAAACAUAUGUUGUCUAUCUUCAUUAUGACCAGCACACAUCACACAAGUUGAAGGCACUAGUAAGCCCCGACGAAUGAGUCUAUCUCUUGCUGCCACCCAAGAUAUGAAAGCAUGCUUCGGAAUACGCCCUGAGAACCAGAUCAUUUUGUGCCAAAAUACUUCCAACGUACAAGGAAAUAAGGUUUUCCAAGUCUCACAAGUGGAUAAUGUCUCUGAACCAUUCUGACCAUUAGUAACCCAAAUAUAUGUAUCAUCAACUUCUGAGCUCAAAACUGGUUGUGCAUCAGACAUGCUAUCUCUGAGGAAGGUGAUGAUCGGAUUCCUACUUCUACUCCUCUCAAA
rnacentral:lncRNA from 1 species